GGGUAGGGGAGCGUUCUGUAAGCCUGCGAAGGUGGCCUGUGAGGGUUGCUGGAGGUAUCAGAAGUGCGAAUGCUGACAUAAGUAACGAUAAAGCGGGUGAAAAGCCCGCUCGCCGGAAGACCAAGGGUUCCUGUCCAACGUUAAUCGGGGCAGGGUGAGUCGACCCCUAAGGCGAGGCCGAAAGGCGUAGUCGAUGGGAAACGGGUUAAUAUUCCCGUACUUGGUGUUACUGCGAAGGGGGGACGGAGAAGGCUAUGUUGGCCGGGCGACGGUUGUCCCGGUUUAAGCGUGUAGGUGUGUGUUCCAGGUAAAUCCGGUUCACUUUAACACUGAGGCGUGACGACGAGGCACUACGGUGCUGAAGCAACAAAUGCCCUGCUUCCAGGAAAAGCCUCUAAGCAUCAGGUAACAUCAAAUCGUACCCCAAACCGACACAGGUGGUCAGGUAGAGAAUACCAAGGCGCUUGAGAGAACUCGGGUGAAGGAACUAGGCAAAAUGGUGCCGUAACUUCGGGAGAAGGCACGCUGACACGUAGGUGAAGUGAUUUACUCAUGGAGCUGAAGUCAGUCGAAGAUACCAGCUGGCUGCAACUGUUUAUUAAAAACACAGCACUGUGCAAACACGAAAGUGGACGUAUACGGUGUGACGCCUGCCCGGUGCCGGAAGGUUAAUUGAUGGGGUCAGCGCAAGCGAAGCUCCUGAUCGAAGCCCCGGUAAACGGCGGCCGUAACUAUAACGGUCCUAAGGUAGCGAAAUUCCUUGUCGGGUAAGUUCCGACCUGCACGAAUGGCGUAAUGAUGGCCAGGCUGUCUCCACCCGAGACUCAGUGAAAUUGAACUCGCUGUGAAGAUGCAGUGUACCCGCGGCAAGACGGAAAGACCCCGUGAACCUUUACUAUAGCUUGACACUGAACAUUGAGCCUUGAUGUGUAGGAUAGGUGGGAGGCUUUGAAGUGUGGACGCCAGUCUGCAUGGAGCCGACCUUGAAAUACCACCCUUUAAUGUUUGAUGUUCUAACGUGGACCCGUUACCCGGGUUGCGGACAGUGUCUGGUGGGUAGUUUGACUGGGGCGGUCUCCUCCUAAAGAGUAACGGAGGAGCACGAAGGUUGGCUAAUCCUGGUCGGACAUCAGGAGGUUAGUGCAAUGGCAUAAGCCAGCUUGACUGCGAGCGUGACGGCGCGAGCAGGUGCGAAAGCAGGUCAUAGUGAUCCGGUGGUUCUGAAUGGAAGGGCCAUCGCUCAACGGAUAAAAGGUACUCCGGGGAUAACAGGCUGAUACCGCCCAAGAGUUCAUAUCGACGGCGGUGUUUGGCACCUCGAUGUCGGCUCAUCACAUCCUGGGGCUGAAGUAGGUCCCAAGGGUAUGGCUGUUCGCCAUUUAAAGUGGUACGCGAGCUGGGUUUAGAACGUCGUGAGACAGUUCGGUCCCUAUCUGCCGUGGGCGCUGGAGAACUGAGGGGGGCUGCUCCUAGUACGAGAGGACCGGAGUGGACGCAUCACUGGUGUUCGGGUUGUCAUGCCAAUGGCACUGCCCGGUAGCUAAAUGCGGAAGAGAUAAGUGCUGAAAGCAUCUAAGCACGAAACUUGCCCCGAG
rnacentral:rRNA from 1 species